rnacentral:rRNA from 1 species
UACGUAGGCAGCGAGCGUUGUUCGGAGUUACUGGGCGUAAAGGGUGUGUAGGCGGUUGUUUAAGUUUGGUGUGAAAUCUCCCGGCUCAACUGGGAGGGUGCGCCGAAUACUGAAUGACUUCGAGUGCGGGAGAGGAAAGUGGAAUUCCUGGUGUAGCGGUGAAAUGCGUAGAGAUCGGGAGGAAUACCUGUGGCGAAGGCGGCCUACUGGGCCGGACCUGACGCUGAGACGCGAAGGCGUGGGGAGCGAACGGG